rnacentral:rRNA from 1 species
AUUGAACGCUGGCGGCAUGCCUUACACAUGCAAGUCGAACGGCAGCACGGGGGCAACCCUGGUGGCGAGUGGCGAACGGGUGAGUAACAUAUCGGAACAUACCCUAGAGUGGGGGAUAACGUAGCGAAAGUUACGCUAAUACCGCAUACGAUCUAAGGAUGAAAGUGGGGGAUCUUCGGACCUCAUGCUCAUGGAGUGGCCGAUAUCUGAUUAGCUAGUUGGUGAGGUAAAGGCUCACCAAGGCGACGAUCAGUAGCUGGUUUGAGAGAACGACCAGCCACACUGGAACUGAGACACGGUCCAGACUCCUACGGGAGGCAGCAGUGGGGAAUUUUGGACAAUGGGGGCAACCCUGAUCCAGCAAUGCCGCGUGAGUGAAGAAGGCCUCGGUUGUAAGCACUUUG